AUCCAUUAGAACUGUUAUCGAAGUUAAGAUAAUUAUUCUAUGUUUUUCCUUUUCCCAUUUUCAUAUUUUCUUUUUAUCGGCCUUCUCUAAUGGCCAUAUUGGGAGUCUAAUUUCCGCGUCUUAUUGAAUUCUAUUCUAAUUCGACUCUGGAACCUGACAGUCCAAAUCCAGUACCAUCCUAAUAAAAAGAAUUCUAAUAUAGCGAAAUAUAAAAGCUUUUUUUUCAUUACUCUGGAUUUGGGUUCCAACCGUUUUCAACGUUUCUGCCAGCUACAACAUUCAAGUACACAACAAGAAGUCGAAAGAUUCACUCAAUUUGAUAUAAAGUGCCGUGUCGUGUUUCACCCCAAAAUAUAAACUUCAAAAUAAUUAUAUAUCUGGAAAUUCCUGGCUAAUUCCCCAAAUAACUAAGCUGAGAAGAUCGACAACCUAGGAAUUGUGGAUUUACUAAGAGGAAGACUAAGAGGAUUUACUAAGAGGAGACUGCCUUAAUACAACAAGAGGAUUGUGAUUCUUUAUUUACAAUAUUACAAUGAAGGGUCCUUCGUCUUCUCGUUAUUCGGAAUUUGCCUGCAGGUUGUGCCGCAAAAUAC